GGUCUGGAUUAUGGCUCAGAUUGAACGCUGGCGGGAUGCUUUACACAUGCAAGUCGAACGGCAGCACGGACUUCGGUCUGGUGGCGAGUGGCGAACGGGUGAGUAAUGUACCGGAACGUGCCUAGUAGCGGGGGAUAACUGGCGCGAAAGCGUAGCUAAUACCGCAUACGCCCUUCGGGGAAAGUGGGACCUUCGGGCCUCGCACUAUUAGGAGCGGCCGAUAUCGGAUUAGCUAGUUGGCGGGGUAACGCAGUUCACCAAGGCGACGAUCCGUAGCUGGUCGAGAGAAUACCCAGCCGCUACACUGGGACUGAGACACGGCCCACCCUACGGGAGGCAGCAGUGGGGAAUUUUUGGACAAUGGGGGAAACCCCGAUCCGCCAGCCAUCCCGCGUGUGCGAUGAAGCGUUUUUGGUUGUAAAGCACUUUUUGGCAGGAAAGAAACGGCACGGGAUAAUACUCCGUGCAACUGACGGUACCUUGCAGAAUAAGCACCGCCAACUACGCCAGCAGCCGCGGUAAUACGGUAGGGUGCAAGCGUUAAUCGGAAUUACUGGGCGUAAAGCGUGCAGGCGGUUUCGGAAAGAAAGAUGUGAAAUCCCAGAGCUUAAUCCUUGAACCGCAUUUUUAACUACCGAGCUAGAGUGCCAGAGGUGGAAUUCCCGCGUGUAGUAGAAUGCGUAGAUAUAGUGGAGGAACACCGAUGGCGAAGGCAGCCUCCUGGGAUAACACCGACGCUCAUGCACGAAAGCGUGGGGAGUAAACAGGAUGAUAUUCCGUAGUCCACGCCCAAACGAUGUCAACUAGCUGUUGGGGCCUUCGGGCCUGGUAGCGCAGCUAAUCGCGCGGGUUGACCGCCCGGGGAGUACGGUCGCAAGAUUAAAACUCAAAGGAAUUGACGGGGACCCGCACAAGCGGUGGAUGAUGUGGAUUAAUUCGAUGCAACGCGAAGAACCUUACCUACCCUUGACAUGUCUGGAAUCCCGAAGAGAUUUUGGGAGUGCUCGCAAGAGAACUGAACACAGGUGCUGCAUGGUUGUCGUCAGCUCGUGUCGUGAGAUGUUGGGUUAAGUCCCGCAACGAGCGCAACCUUGUCAUUAGUUGCUACGAAAGGGCACUCUAAUGAGACUGCUGGUGACAAACCGGAGGAAGGUGGGGAUGACGUCAAGUCCUCAUGGCCCGGCGGGUAGGGGCUUGUCACGCCAUGAUGCAAUGGUCGGGACAGAGGGUCGCCAACCUUGCUGAGGCUAAUCCCAGAAACCCGAUCGUAGUCCGGAUCGCAGUCUGCAACUCGACUGCGUGAAGUCGGAAUCGCUAGUAAUCGCGGAUCAGCAUGUCGCGGUGAAUACGUUCCCGGGUCUUGUACACACCGCCCGCCACCCAUGGGAGUGGGUUUUACCAGUAGCCGAAGCAGGUCGAACGGUAAGGAGGGCGAUUACCACGUAGGAUUCAUGACUGGGGUGAAGUCGUAACAAGGUAG
rnacentral:rRNA from 1 species